rnacentral:antisense_RNA from 1 species
CUUCACCGACCCCAGCAGCAGCGGCGUCUCCCGACCCUGCCCGUACGUCGCCAACAACGCCUGAGCCUC